rnacentral:lncRNA from 1 species
AAAAUUCAAGGAAAUAAUUAAUUAAAUAGAGCUUUGAGAAAUUUAAGGAGAAAUUUGAGAGCUUUGAGAAAUUUAGGGAGAAAUUUGAGAGUUUUUUGUUAAAUUUUGAAAAAAAUUUGUGUGAAAUAAUAAGAGGAGGUUUUUAUAUUUUUUUUUACAGUUGGACCCCCCAACGGUGAAAAAAAUAGCUGUUGGGGAAAAAAAUACGGAGCAAAACGUGCCCCUGGAGGAGAGUUUUUGCCACGUUAGCAAAGAGCUUCCAUGUCAGCGCAUUUUGUGCUGAGAUGGCAAAAACGCUCCUCAAGAGCGCGAUUUGCUGGAAAUUUCACCCUAAAACGCUCUUACGUGAAUGCAUUUUGCCAAAAUC